GUUGCCUCAAGCUUUAACAAGGGAGGCUCAUGGUCUUGCACCCAUCUUCAAGACAAAUGCCCAGCUUCAAACCAGGAAAAAUAAGAAGGAGCACUGGCAGCAUGAGACCCUGGGGCCACUGACAGGCCCACCUGCUGACAGACUGGCCCUGCCCUGCCCAAGAAAACACCGUUUCCAAGCUAAUUAUUACUGCCCUUAUCAGUGGCACUGUCAGAGCUCCUGAUGCACUGCUGGGCUGGGCAAGAGGCACAGCAGCUUCCAGCAGCCACAAGCUACAUGAAGGUGCUCAUGGAGAAGAGGAAGAGAGAGGCAUGGGAAUUCCUUCUGCUUAAUGAACCCCAGUGCCCAGCUGCACCCUGCAGUGGCCCAUGGACAGCCUGUUGUGAGAGCAGGGUUUGCACCAAAGCAGGCAGCACAGCCUGCACAGUGCUGCCUCCUCAGCACGGGCAGAAGACAAAGGUAAUAAAGCACCGUGCUGGGUUUAGGCUCAACACUCAACUCCUCCUUUCUUUUUAGUGUAGAACACUCCCUUUGUACCCUUACAGGCUUCUUAAGUACUGUUAAGUUUCACAUGUGUUUAAAAAAAAAAAAAGGCAAAAAAGAUUCUUCAUUUGUACAAGAUGUGUUUCUAUCACACUCUCCACCCACUGCUCUCCUCCAAUCUCAACAAAAGCUGCACAGCCCUUGAGAGGGCAGCUGGUCACCCCCUGCCUCCAGCCCACAGCCCACUGCUGAGGCUGCAGGAACACCCAGGAACCCUGCCCAAGGACACAGUCCCUGUCCCCUGCCCAGGUGCCCACCCUGUGCCACACUGGAGGGCCAGAGAUCCUUGUUUUAGGCCGGUUGCAAACAUGCUACCUGCCAGAGGAGCAGGGAUGGAAGAAUCUGGAGGAACUAAAGCACUGUGAUAGGAAAAGCUGUAGGAGUUUGCCAGUAGCUUUAUUGUACAGUUAAUUAGCUCCCUCUGGAACAGCUCUGAUGGCAGGAAGAGAAAUACAUUCUGUUCUAGGGCUUGCUGCAACAGAGACCUGACCUGCACAUUUUGUAACAUCCCUCAGGAGCUACCUGGUCAUGCUCCCAAAAUCUGCUCGUGGAAGUGCUCCAGCCAGGCUCUUGGCUGAGGAAGCUGCAGGCUCACCUUCACUCCACGCUGCUGGCAGUGUAAAGGGGCUCACACACACACUGCAGCUUUUCCUGGCCAAAACUUUGAUAAAACACUAACUUGGGUCACGUAUACUCCCAGUCAAUUGUUCUUUUGAACAGAAAUGGUUAUGGACACCGCUGUAUAUUUGUGCUUUCAUAGCCAACCCCCACGUGUGAUUUUGCUGGGUGCUGGCUGCAGGACAGAAGGGAACUCUUGGGAGUCUCCUUGCAGGAUGCUGCAUCCCUUCCAGGAGAGCUUCUCAUGCUUCCGUGAGCACCCUGUGUUAGGCAGUGACCCUCACAAGUGCCCCAGCUGCAGCACAGCAGCUGCUCCUCAUCGGGCAGGGUGUGUACAAAGCAUCACAAACAGCCAUUUUUGCUGGCCAUGUUUUUAUUUGUUUUUAGUUUUAAACAGGGGAGCCAAUGAUACAUCCAGUAUUUCAAAAAAUCAGAAGGUAAAACAAAUUUUUAAAAGACCGAGAUGCUACAUGCUAUAUUUAACCUAAUUUUAUUCAUGCUUGCUUUGGAGGGGGGCUGGGAGUGGGACAGGAAUCAUUCGUAAAAACAUACAGUAAAAACAAAAUGUCUCACCAUAUAGAACUUUAACCUACAGUAAUGUUGUACCUUAAUUAUUUCCAUGCACACAACUAACAUUACAAAAUUUUUAAAAAAUGAACACAAUUAAGACUUCUAGGAGCAUUUGAUAAUAAAGCAAUUCCUAAUUUCUUUUGUAGAGAUCAAGCACCUCCAAUUACAAAUUCCUAUACACAGUGAGUGCUUUACUUGAAAUGAAAACUAAAAAAUAAAAAUGUAUUGGAUAGCCUCAGAAUAAGCCGAUGUUAA